rnacentral:lncRNA from 1 species
GGGGAAGACCACACUGGACAUCGGCUCCUGGGGCACUUCCUUGAUUCCGCUGUACUCAGCGGGACGGGAGAGGCGGAGGUUCCAGGAGGGAGCCUUCCAGAGUCGGUGCAGGGUUGACAGGAGACGUUUGUUUUGCUUUUCCUGAACUUUCGAUCGCCAGCUUAUUUGGUCUUCUUGAUGUUAUAGGGUUGAUAGAGACAGGAGUGGAGUGAUAUCGGACACCGAGCUUCAGCAAGCUCUCUCCAAUGGGAAACCCCCAUCAGCACCUCCCCCUGACUCACAAAGCAUCCCGUCAACAUCACAAUCCCGACUUUCCCACGCGGACAAGCCCACGGGACCCCCUGAUGGACCAGGACAGCACCAGCACUAAGACAUGCCCUGAAACUCACAGGAAGACCUGAUCAAGAAGACGGGAACAGCACAGGGCACUGGGAGCUGCAAACGCCCACAAUACUGUCAGAGAUGGAAAAAGGCACGUGGACUCCCUUUAAUCCAGUGACUGUCAGGUCGAUCAUAUGUCCUGAGGCACGUGAAUGGCCAGGAUAAGAUUGUGCCCGGCCUGUACGCCUGUGGGGAGGCCGCCUGUGCCUCGGUACAUGGUGCCAAUCGGCUCGGGGCAAACUCGCUCUUGGACUUGGUUGUCUUUGGUCGGGCAUGUGCCCUGAGCAUCGAAGAGUCAUGCAGGCCUGGAGACAAAGUCCCUCCAAUUAAACCAAACGCUGGGGAAGAAUCUGUCAUGAAUCUUGACAAAUUGAGAUUUGCUGAUGGAAGCAUAAGAACAUCAGAACUGCGACUCAGCAUGCAGAAGGUAAGAGCCUGGACUCGCUCUGGAGUGAGCAGGUGGGCUGCAUACCUGGCCCUGCACUGGUUUUGUUUUCUUAAAACUAGAUCUAGGGGGAUGCAGGUGCAGUUUUGUGUGGAUGUACCGGGAUGUGGUGGAGUCUGGGCUUUUCAUGUACCCGUCACCCAAGUCGUGUGUGUUGUACCCAGUAGGUAAUUGUUCAACCCCACCCCUCCUGCUUUUUGGAGCCCCCAGUCUCUGCUACUCCACUCCAUGUGUCCAUGUGUACUCACCGUUCAGCUCCUGUUUCCAAGUGAGAAUGUGUGACACUUGACCUUCUGAGUCACUUCACUUAGGAUAGUGACCUCCUGUUCCAUCCGUGUGGCUGCAGAAGACAUGAUUGCGUUCUUUUUUUAUGGCCGAGUAGUAUUUCAUGGUAUAUAUGUACCACAUUUUCUUCAUCCAGUCGUCCGUUGAUGGGCACUUAGGUUGAUUCCAUGACUUUGCUGUUGUGACUAGUGCUGCGAUAAAUACACAAGGCUGCACCAGUAUCUGGAGGUAAACAGCGGUAGGACGUACUCCUCACUGUAUCAAGAAUAUGAAAGAGACCAGGAGGCCUGAACUAUACAGAAGUGCACUUCUUUUCCACAUAGAAGGUCAGCAGGCUAGGGCAGAAUUAGUGACUGCUUAGCAUCCAGGACAGCCUUCUGUGGUUCACUCGUGUGUGCUUGGGUGUGACCUCCGUGACCUGACCAUUGCUGGCUGUCAUGGAUGAGUCACAGCGUGGAGGAGAGGGAACUGCAGGACCGCCAGAGAAGCUCAGUCCCCAGCAGGGCAGCUUUCUCUUAGCAGGUUUCCUGGAGUUCAACACAACACUGGUGCUUACAUCUCAG